ensembl:lncRNA
GUCAAAUACGUCACAUUCUCAUUCAUUUUGAAACAUGAAGAAGCAUUGAUAAGAAGAUAAUUUGUAUUGUUUGCCAACCGCUAAAAAGGAAGCUAUUGUUUGCCGUGUCGCAUUCUACACAUGUUCAGUCCAAGCCUGAUGCAGGGCAGUUCUCCCGGGUUAAGGGGUCCCUGCUGCAGUUUCACCAGUAAAGACAAUUAAUGGUUACAAUUCACUUGAAGGACCAUGGAGGCAUGGUGGUAUGGAGCGCCAAGAGGACAUAAAGUGGAAGUUCUAAGGGACACUGGUCCAGCGUGGUACAGAGUCAUCAUGGGUUAUUCUUUGGGGAGGUGACAGGGCCUGCCUUUCUCCAGAUGGACAGUAAAAUGCCAUCAACAGAAUGCUAUCAAAGACUACCUGGAGGGAGGAUAUAUUAAAGCAAGCAAUCUCU